GACGAACGCUGGCGGCGUGCUUAACACAUGCAAGUCGAACGGAAAGGCCCUGCUUUUGUGGGGUGCUCGAGUGGCGAACGGGUGAGUAACACGUGAGUAACCUGCCCUUGACUUUGGGAUAACUUCAGGAAACUGGGGCUAAUACCGGAUAGGAGCUCCUGCUGCAUGGUGGGGGUUGGAAAGUUUCGGCGGUUGGGGACGGACUCGCGGCUUAUCAGCUUGUUUGUGGGGUAGUGGCUUACCAAGGCUUUGACGGGUAGCCGGCCUGAGAGGGUGACCGGCCACAUUGGGACUGAGAUACGGCCCAGACGGCUACGGGAGGCAGCAGUGGGGAAUAUUGCACAAUGGGCGGAAGCCUGAUGCAGCAACGCCGCGUGCGGGAUGACGGCCUUCGGGUUGUAAACCACUUUCGCCUGUGACGAAGCGUGAGUGACGGUAAUGGGUAAAGAAGCACCGGCUAACUACGUG
rnacentral:rRNA from 1 species